AGUGAACGCUGGCGGUAGGCCUAACACAUGCGAGUCGAACGGCAGCACAGUAAGAGCUUGCUCUUACGGGUGGCGAGUGGCGGACGGGUGAGGAAUACAUCGGAAUCUACUUUUUCGUGGGGGAUAACGAAGGGAAACUUACGCUAAUACCGCAUACGACCUACGGGUGAAAGCAGGGGAUCUUCGGACCUUGCGCGAUUGAAUGAGCCGAUGUCGGAUUAGCUAGUUGGCGGGGUAAAGGCCCACCAAGGCGACGAUCCGUAGCUGGUCUGAGAGGAUGAUCAGCCACACUGGAACUGAGACACGGUCCAGACUCCUACGGGAGGCAGCAGUGGGGAAUAUUGGACAAUGGGCGCAAGCCUGAUCCAGCCAUACCGCGUGGGUGAAGAAGGCCUUCGGGUUGUAAAGCCCUUUUGUUGGGAAAGAAAAGCAGCAGGUUAAUACCCCGCUGUUCUGACGGUACCCAAAGAAUAAGCACCGGCUAACUUCGUG
rnacentral:rRNA from 1 species